rnacentral:rRNA from 1 species
CCUACGGGCGGCUGCAGUGGGGAAUAUUGGACAAUGGGGGGAACCCUGAUCCAGCCAUGCCGCGUGUGUGAAGAAGGCCCUCGGGUUGUAAAGCACUUUCAGUGAGGAAGAACGCCUGGUGGUUAAUACCCAUCAGGAAAGACAUCACUCACAGAAGAAGCACCGGCUAACUCCGUGCCAGCAGCCGCGGUAAUACGGAGGGUGCGAGCGUUAAUCGGAAUUACUGGGCGUAAAGCGCGCGUAGGUGGCUUGAUAAGCCGGUUGUGAAAGCCCCGGGCUCAACCUGGGAACGGCAUCCGGAACUGUCAAGCUAGAGUGCAGGAGAGGAAGGUAGAAUUCCUGGUGUAGCGGUGAAAUGCGUAGAGAUCGGGAGGAAUACCAGUGGCGAAGGCGGCCUUCUGGACUGACACUGACACUGAGGUGCGAAAGCGUGGGUAGCAAACAGGAUUAGAUACCCUGGUAGUC